UACGGAGGGUGCGAGCGUUGUCCGGAAUCACUGGGCGUAAAGGGCGCGUAGGUGGCCCGUGGAAGUCUGCGGUGAAAGCCCGGCGCUCAACGCCGGGUCGGCCGUGGAUACUCUCGGGCUCGAGCUUACUAGAGGCAGAUGGAAUUCCGGGGUGUAGCGGUGGAAUGCGUAGAGAUCCGGAAGAACACCGGUGGCGAAGGCGGUCUGCUGGGGUAAUGCUGGACACUGAUGCGCGACAGCGUGGGGAGCAAACAGG
rnacentral:rRNA from 1 species